rnacentral:rRNA from 1 species
AUUGAACGCUGGCGGCAUGCCUUACACAUGCAAGUCGAACGGUAACGCGGGGCAACCUGGCGACGAGUGGCGAACGGGUGAGUAAUACAUCGGAACGUGCCCAGUAGUGGGGGAUAGCCCGGCGAAAGCCGGAUUAAUACCGCAUACGACCUACGGGUGAAAGCGGGGGAUCGCAAGACCUCGCGCUAUUGGAGCGGCCGAUGUCAGAUUAGCUAGUUGGUGGGGUAAAGGCCUACCAAGGCGACGAUCUGUAGCUGGUCUGAGAGGACGACCAGCCACACUGGGACUGAGACACGGCCCAGACUCCUACGGGAGGCAGCAGUGGGGAAUUUUGGACAAUGGGGGCAACCCUGAUCCAGCCAUGCCGCGUGCGGGAAGAAGGCCUUCGGGUUGUAAACCGCUUUUGUCGGGGAAGAAACGGUCUGCGCUAAUACCGCGGACUAAUGACGGUACCCGAAGAAUAAGCACCGGCUAACUACGUGCCAGCCGCCGCCGUAA